rnacentral:rRNA from 1 species
GAUGAACGCUAGCGGCAGGCUUAACACAUGCAAGUCGAGGGGUAUUAGGGGCUUGCUCCUAAGAGACCGGCGCACGGGUGCGUAACGCGUAUGCAAUCUACCUUUUACAGGGGAAUAGCCCAGAGAAAUUUGGAUUAACGCCCCAUAGUAUAUUUGAAUGGCAUCAUUUGAUUAUUAAAGAUUUAUCGGUAAAAGAUGAG